rnacentral:pre_miRNA from 1 species
UCUUUAGUAUAAGUAUAUGCCAUAAAAUAUUUGGGAUAUACUUAUACUAUAA